UUUUCAGUUACAUCUUCUAUGACUAAAACAAGACAAUCUAGUAUGUUUAUAUGUACAAACCAAAAUAGUGUCUAAAUUUUGAAACAAUGAAACUGACUACUAGAUGAAAUUAUAGGCUAGAAAUUUUUAAGGUAAUCUUUAUUGUGUAGUAUUCCACGGUGUAUAUGUACCACAUUUUCUUUAUCCAGUUCACUAUUGAUGGGCACCUAGGUUGAUUCCAUGUCUUUGCUGUUGUGAAUAGUGCUACCAUGAACAUACAUGUGCAUGUGUCUUUAUGGUAUAACAAUCCAUAUUCCUUUGGAUAUACAGCAAGUAUGGGAUUGCUGGGUCAAAUGGUAGUUCUGUUUUUAGUUCUCUGAGAAAUAACCAAACUGCUUCCCACAGUAGCUGAACUAAUUUACAUUCCCUUUUAUCCAUGGCCUCACCAACAUCUCUUAUUUUUGAACUUUUUAUUAUUAGCCAUUUGACUGGUGUGAAAUGGUAUCUCACUGUGGCUUUGGCUGGAGGGCAGUGGCACGAUCUCAGCUCACCGCAACCUCCGCCUCCUGGAUUCAAGCGAUUCUUCUGCCUCAGCCUCCUGAGUAGCUAAGUAGCUGGGAUUAUAGGCAUGCAUCACCACGUGCAGCUAUUUUUGUAUUAUUAUUAUUUUUCUUAGUUGAGACAGGAUUUCUCCAUGUUGGUCAGGCUGGUCUUGAACUCCUGACCUCAGGUGAUCCACCUGCCUCGGCCUCCCAAAGUGCUAGGAUUACAGGUGUGAGCCACUGCGCCAGGCCUGCAGUCAUAAUUCUUAAUGAUUACCACUGAUCUUCCUCAGCCUCUGUAAUCCUGACAUUUCUAAGGCCUAAAUGUAAACAAUUCUAAAUGUUGACCUGAACACCAACUCCAUUAAAAAUAAUUAUCUGAACACAGUAGCAAUGACCAGAGCAGUGGUUCUGAGAGCUGGAUAAAUCAAGUCAAGGGCCAGAGAGUUCUUCAUCCCUGCCAUGUCAUUAAAGCUUCUGGUUGAUGCAGAUACUAAUGACAGAACAGCUUUGGCUAAAUACGCUAAUCUGACCUGUGAUGACUUAACUGCCGAUAUCCAAAAUCAUUGAAUCAUCUAUCUCUUAAUUUCAUGAAAAUUUACUUUUAGUUGAUGCUUGUUAUAAGCAUGUUUCUUUUGUAUUCCUCAUUUUCCUUCUUCUUUUGUACUGAUUUCCCCCUUGGUGUGUAUUUUAAAGUUCUGAGAGUUAAGUGGAGCAAAAGGUGAGUGUUGUGAUAUUCUCAUAACCAUGAAAAGGCUUGAAAAACAUGGAAAAUGAAUAAUAAUUGAUUUAAAAUGUAAAUAACUAAGUCAUAUUUUUGCCCUUUCCUGUCAAGAUAACUGAUUUCCUGAAUGUUUUUGUCUAUACUAUUCAAGACCCAAAUGACUGCAGAAGUUUAUUCAUUUCUUUCUCUCUUUCUUUAUGGAUAUAAAACACUGGAAAAUUAUUAUUAGGUCUUACACUGGACCAGGUUGUCACUAGUUAAAGUCAAUGAAAGAGAAGCAAUUGGAUAUUCUGGCCCAGAUGAGAAGUUGAUUAUUUUAUUUAACUAACCCAGAAAAGAUUACAUUUAAAUUCUAGAUAUUAUCAACAAUAAUUCUGCAAACAAACUCCCCUUUUUACCCCAAACCAUGUCAGGAACAUCUUCAUUGAGGUCCAGUCCCUUUAUGGAAUCUCAUUAACUAACCACAUGGGCUGUUCUGCUUUAUCCAACAACAUCAGCAAUGGAGGCAGUUUCCUGCUACAGAGAGAAGCAUCAGGCUCUGGAGGUAGUUCUUCCAAUCACUUCAAUGUCUUCCUUACCGUCUUUGUGCUUUGGUAGUAAAGAGGCAU
rnacentral:lncRNA from 1 species